rnacentral:rRNA from 1 species
AGCGAACGCUGGCGGCGUGGAUUAGGCAUGCAAGUCGAACGGGAUCGGGCCGCAAGGUCCGAUUCAGUGGCGAAAGGGCGAGUAAUACAUCGAUCAUCUGCCCCAGGGCCCGGAAUAACACUUGGAAACGAGUGCUAAUGCCGGAUGGUCCAGCAAUGGUAAACGGCGGGGACCGCAAGGCCUGCCGCCCAGGGAGGAGUCGAUGCCCUAUCAGCUUGUUGGUGAGGAACGGCUCACCAAGGCAAAGACGGGUAGCCGGACUGAGAGGUUGGUCGGCCGCACUGGGACUGGGACACUGCCCAGACUCCUACGGGAGGCUGCAGUCGAGGAUCUUCCGCAAUGGGGGCAACCCUGACGGAGCGACGCCGCGUGCAGGAUGAAGGCCUC